GUCGUACGAGAGUUUUUAACUCAAGUGGCGGACGGGUGAGUAACACGUAAGAAUUUACCUUUAGGAGGGGGAUAACAACUGGAAACGGUUGCUAAUACCCCAUAUGCUUUCGAGUGAAAUGGUUUUUCCGCCUAAAGAGAAGCUUGCGGCUGAUUAGCUUGUUGGGGAGGUAAUGGCUCACCAAGGCGACGAUCAGUAUCUGGUUUGAGAGGACGAUCAGACACACUGGAACUGAGACACGGUCCAGACUCCUACGGGAGGCAGCAGUGGGGAAUUUUCCGCAAUGGGCGAAAGCCUGACGGAGCAAUACCGCGUGAGGGAUGACGGCCUAUGGGUUGUAAACCUCUUUUUUUCAGGGAGGAAUAAAUGACGUGUACCUGAGGAAUAAGCAUCGGCUAACUCCGUGCCAGCAGCCGCGGUAAUACG
rnacentral:rRNA from 1 species